rnacentral:rRNA from 1 species
GACGAACGCUGGCGGCGUGCUUAACACAUGCAAGUCGAACGGAAAGGCCCUGCUUUUUUGGGGUUCUCGAGUGGCGAACGGGUGAGUAACACGUGAGUAACCUGCCCUUGACUUUGGGAUAACUUCAGGAAACUGGGGCUAAUACCGUAUAGGAUCUCCUGCUGCAUUGUGGGGGUUGGAAAGUUUCGGCGGUUGGGGAUGGACUCGCGGCUUAUCAGCUUGUUGGUGGGGUAGUGGCUUACCAAGGCUUUGACGGGUAGCCGGCCUGAGAGGGUGACCGGCCACAUUGGGACUGAGAUACGGCCCAGACUCCUACGGGAGGCAGCAGUGGGGAAUAUUGCACAAUGGGCGGAAGCCUGAUGCAGCAACGCCGCGUGCGGGAUGACGGCCUUCGGGUUGUAAACCGCUUUCGCCUGUGACGAAGCGUGAGUGACGGUAAUGGGUAAAGAAGCACCGGCUAACUACGUG